AUUGAACGCUGGCGGCAGGCCUAACACAUGCAAGUCGAACGAGUGGCGGACGGGUGAGUAAUGUAUGGGAAUCUGCCCGAUGGAGGGGGAUAACUACUGGAAACGGUAGCUAAUACCGCAUACUAUCGGAUGUGCCCAGAUGGGAUUAGCUAGUAGGUGAGGUAAUGGCUCACCUAGGCGACGAUCCCUAGCUGGUCUGAGAGGAUGAUCAGCCACACUGGGACUGAGACACGGUCCAGACUCCUACGGGAGGCAGCAGUGGGGAAUAUUGCACAAUGGGCGCAAGCCUGAUGCAGCCAUGCCGCGUGUAUGAAGAAGGCCCUCGGGUUGUAAAGUACUUUCAGCCGGGAGGCGUUACCGACAGAAGAAGCACCGGCUAACUCCGUGCCAGCAGCCGCGGUAAUAC
rnacentral:rRNA from 1 species